rnacentral:rRNA from 1 species
AGCAGCCGCGGUAAUUCCAGCUCCAAUAGCGUAUAUUAAAGUUGUUGCAGUUAAAAAGCUCGUAGUUGAAUUUCGGGAUCAAUUUAUCGGUCGUGCCAAUGGUAUGAACUGGUACAAUUGGUUUCUCCCUUCUGACGAGGCAUGAUGUCAUUAAUUUGGUGUCGUGGGGAAUCAGGACUGUUACUUUGAAAAAAUUAGAGUGUUUAAAGCAAGCAUUAGCUUGAAUACAUUAGCAUGGAAUAAUGAAAUAGGACGUUUGAUCCUAUUUCGUUGGUUUCUAGGAUCGACGUAAUGAUUAAUAGGGAUAGUUGGGGGCAUUAGUAUUCAAUUGUCAGAGGUGAAAUUCUUGGAUUUAUUGAAGACUAACUACUGCGAAAGCAUUUGCCAAGGAUGUUUUCAUUAAUCAAGAACGAAAGUUAGGGGAUCGAAGACGAUCAGAUACCGUCGUAGUCUUAACCAUAAACUAUGCCGACUAGGGAUCGGAUGAUGUAAUUUUUAAUGA